rnacentral:rRNA from 1 species
UUUUAUAUGGGGAAAACCUUUCCUGGUCUUGACAUCCUCGGAAACAUGCAGAGAAACGGGGGUUCCUUCGGGAGCCGAGACACAGGGGGCGCAUGGCUGUUCUCAUCUUGUGUUGUGAGAUUGUGGUUUAAUUCCCACAAAGAGCGCACCCCUUCCCCUUAGUUCACAUCAUUAAGGUGGGGACUUUUAGGGGGCUGCCGGUGACAAAUCGGAGGAAGGUGGGGAUGACGUCAAGUCAUCAUGGCCCUUAAGGCCAGGGCUUCCCCCGUUCUACAAUGGCCGGUACAAAGGGGUGCCAACCCGCGAGGGGGAGCCAAUCCCAAAAAACCGGUUUUAGUUCGGAUUGGAGUUUGCAACUUGGCUCCCUGAAGUCGGAAUCCGGGUUAAUUGC